AAAAAAAAAAAAAUACAAAACGCAAAUAGAAAUCAUCAACAUUUUACGUUUGGCAUAGAGAUGAGCUUUACACCUAAGUCCGAACCCGUAAGCCUUAAACAUCACAUGAACCCCAAAUCCACUUCUACUUGGAAUUGAAUCUGAUGGUCAUGGCCCUUCCUAAUCUCGCCUCCUCCUUCUCCAACCCUACCGCCACCGCCACCGCCACCGCCGCCGCCGCCACCGCCACCACCGCCACCACCGCCACCACCGCCGCCGCUUCCGCCCCGUUAUCGCCUUCGGAUGACCCGUCUAAGAAAAUUAGAAAACCCUACACCAUUACAAAGUCACGUGAAAGCUGGACUGAACCUGAGCACGAUAAGUUCCUUGAGGCUCUGCAACUCUUUGACCGUGACUGGAAAAAGAUUGAAGCGUUUGUUGGAUCAAAAACUGUUAUUCAGAUACGUAGCCAUGCUCAAAAAUAUUUUCUGAAGGUCCAGAAGAGUGGAACCAAUGAACGUCUUCCUCCUCCUCGGCCAAAAAGAAAAGCUGCUCAUCCCUACCCACAGAAAGCCUCAAAAAGCGCUCCAGCUGUCUCACCAGUGCCUACAUCUUUUCAAGCUUCCCUUCCGUUACCGGAACCUGGAUUUGUUAAAAGGCCUGAUUCUUCCUUGUUACCUAGCAAUCCAGCUACUGUUGUGUCUGUGCCGUCAUGGACUGACAACUCUGAGCCACCAGUUAGUUUGUCGCAAAUGAAGAAAGAUAACGCGAGCGAAGCAGGUCAGCCAGUCACCAAUAACCGUUGCUGCAGUAGUAAUGAAAGCACUCCAAGAUCAAAAUCAACAGUUGAGGUGACGGAGCGGACUCAAACACCCUCACUGAGAGUUUUGCCUGACUUUGCUCAAGUAUACAAUUUCAUCGGCAGUGUAUUCGACCCUGCUGUUACAGGACACUUGCAGAAAUUGAAAAAAAUGGAUCGCAUUGAUGUUGAGACGGUGUUGUUGCUGAUGAGAAAUCUCUCCAUCAACCUUACGAACCCCGACUUCGAGCAUGAUGACUUGCACUUCCUUCUGAUGAUUGUUCCUGGAGCUUGUACCUCCUGGUGACUUUUCCGUCAAUAUUCCAAUUAUCACUAUAUAAGCUUUUCUGGUAUCAUCCCAGCCAGAGUGCCGUCAUUAACCGGCAGCACCAGUUCAGGGAAGUGUUCGGAUGUUGCAUUAGAUGUAUUAGUUUAAAAUGGGUAAAGUAUUGUAUGUAAAGAGGCAGCUGCUUUCAUCUUAUGAUACAGACAUCGAGAAGCAGUGCAAAUGAAAUCAUCAAUGACAACAAACUUUAAAGUGCUGCUCAGUUUAGUACUUCAUGCUAUGACCUUUGCAUACCAUUCCCGUUUAUUCUUUUGCUCGAGAGUAUUAGUCGUAACCAAUGCCAUAUCGGAGUUGGUCGAGAACAAACGGCAAGUGGAGGACCCACAUGUAAUAAUACCAGAAGCCUUGGUUUGUUCGAUAGCUGCUGCUAUUUCAGAGUCAAAGUUCUUUUGCCUGUGCAGUUCAUAUUUGUGUAUAUACUGUAAGAUAUAAACAGAGAUGAUAGUUGUGAUGAGGGAACUUAAAUAUAUAAAGCUGGGUUUAUGUAAAUUCAAGUUUUGACAAGACUCCAGCCUCUGCGGUACCGGCAAAUUCUUCAUGCCAAUUGUAAAUGCUUCAACAAAUGAGAUCAUUGAUUUUCGCUGGUGCCUGCUUCCU